AUUGGGUUUAAAUAAGACACCUGGCUAUAACAGAUGAUCAGUCAUGCUAUAGUCCAUAAACCAAGCUUAUUCAGCAAGGUCGACAAAUAUUACGAAUUCCGGUAAUCCGGGCUGAAGGAGCCACCUUUCACGCUGGGCCGAUGUCUGAGCCUCUUACGCAAAACUACCCAAUAUAUUAAAUUUAAAAGCUACAGCUUUAACAAUAUGAUUUGGGAAAUUCAAGAAUGCAAGUGUCUUGUCUUGUUAAACAAAAUUCAUUUUGUAGCAAAUCGAAAUAGUUACUACCUUCAGUAGUUUGUAAAUCUUUUAUGAAAAUCGAAGUUUCGGUAGCAGGUCAAAGGUAUUAUCAAUUCAACUGAAGGUAUUCAACUUACCAGAUAUGCUUCACAAGAAUGAUGUUAAGAUAAAAAUGAACCAUUUAUAAAAGAGAGUUCGGGGUCAAGAGGAAGAUAAGAAUCGCUUACUUUUAACCACAAGAGAAGUAUAGAAAUACUUGCCUUAACUCCAAUGUCUAGCCACGAUUCUAAUAGCACUAUACCGCACAAUCAUAUCUUUCUAAGCAGCUUCUGACAAUACUCUUUCUAUAUAUGUCUUCUCAGAUUAUUCUUGCUUCAACUUGCAACACCAUCGGAUUAAUUUUGAACAUUCUCGAUAUACACGUCUUGAUCUAUUCUACACGAUAGUAGGAUAAUAUCUCAGUCGUUGGAUUAGAAGAACUAGCUAAUUCCAAGUAGUAUAAGUACCGCGAACAUCUACCCUUCGCAUAUCCGUAUAUAUAGUAAACAUGAGUAUAGACAGAUAUCCACAUAACAAUAUAUACACAUUGGAUCAGUCGGCACAUAACCACAUAGUCAAUAAACAAUCAAUACAUAUUCCGGUCCACAUAGAAUAUAAUGCUAUUAGCCAUCAAAUAUCAAAUAUUUAUUAAUAACUAAACACCCUUAAUUUCUAACAAAAAUUCGGCAGCAUUUCCUCUGUUUAUCGGACAAUCCACCUGUUUGCAAUACCAACCACCAUCCAAUACUAUUGCUAUCACAUGAAUUACUAUUAUAAAAAGAUGGCUUGACUUGCAGUAAACACAUAAAAAAAUCUGCCUUAACUUUUAGGGAACAUAUUAUAAAAUCUUUUAGCAAGAUUGCUAAUUUGUUAUAUGCAAAACACGUUUAAUUAAAUAUACAAGGUCAACUGAGCCAAUCUAUUUAAUAAUCAACCGUAUGCAAUUAAUCAAGUAUAACCUCGUAUUAUGCACUAACAAAGAAAGAAAACUAGAGCAAAUAAUUCAAAUAACCCUCACUCUAUGAUUUUUAAUAAAUUGAAAAUUUAUCGUUUCAAUACGAGAUUUUUAUGAGACACUCUUACACAUUAUUCCAACCUACUGUAAAAUUUUCGGAAAGAAAAUCCAAGCUUAAAGCAGUAAAACAGGCCUGUCAAUCAGGCACCAGAAACUGUUUUGCAAAACCAGCCCGACGCUAGAAUUUUUAAUAAAUAGAAAACUUGGUCUGAUUGUAUAAAAUUUUAAUGAAAUAUUCCAGAUACUAACAUCCAACUCUGGUAAAAAUUUCAGAAGCAAAGCUCGAGUUUAAGGUAGCAAAACAGGGCAUGGAACAGGACACAUAAACCUGCCCAGAAUUUUCAGCGCGUACCAUACUAAAACGGUCAUAUCUCCUAGCUCGCUAAUCGAAUCGAUUCGAUUCUUUCGCGCACAUAAACUAGACUCUGAAGAGCAUAUAAUCACAAAGAAAUUGAGCAUAUCACUCGAAUUUAACAGUCCAGAACAGAGCUACAAAACAGGACAGUGUUGCUGCGAAAUUAAGCAUAGUUCGAAAGUUAUGCUUCAAAUACUCAAGUUAGCUCAAUCCAAAUAUUCUAGACCUGAACUUACACUUAAACUCUUAAAACACCAUUCUGAAAACAUUUGUACAAAAUAUCAAACCUGAAAGCUUGAAUACCCAGUUAUAUAUUCCCGUAAUUCAAGUACCUAAGUCAUCCGAUUAUACAACUAGUUGGCGUACUAAUUAUAAUCGACCUUCAACAACCAAUUCAAAUAUCAAUUAAGCACACAAACAACCCAUGGCCAAUUACCUAUAACACAUAUGCAUAACAGGUGUAUAAGCAAGCAAUUUGCCUUAAUUAUUUAAUUAAUCAAUACUAAUCCCCAGCAAUUUAGUCCUCUAUUAUGCACAUAGCACAAUCCAUAUACACAUAUAUACACAAUUACUAACUUUAGUUUGUCCUUAAUCACCCAAUUAAGUGUGAGCCCCGAUUAACACAUAACAAUACAAGUGAAAUUCACAUAAUCAGAUUAUACCCACAAAAUACAUGUAAAUCGAUUAUAAGAAUUUUAACAGAGCUUUAUACCGAACUGUGUUGAACUCGAGGGGUGGAAUAAAGCUUGUGUCGUCGGACAAACAUGCCACAGCUGAUGCAGGUUUUGGAGACUCAAUAAUAGAGAAACCUGGAGAGAAAAGAAUCGAUAACUUCCGACCGGGAAGAAGCAGGAGGCAUGGACAAGAAGAAAUUCGCGGGUGACCACAACAGGUUUGGCCGGAAUCGGAACCAGCGGCGGCGACUUGUCUGGAGCAUAUCGGUCAGCGGGGAAGUUUAACAGAAUAGAAGGGAGGCUGUCGACAGAGAAAAGAUUUCGAAAGGGGGAGAGAUUAGAAGGAGACUGAUGUUUGAGAUAAAAAGGAAGAAGUAUUGUGUAUAUACAAAGGCGGUGGUGGAAUAAACGGUGGCGGUGCUAAAAAAAGGGGUACGUGGUUAAGUCUUUUACUUCCACGUGCCCAUAAUAAUCUGAAGACUCGGACCUGCUUUUAACUAAAUUAUCGGAAUAUCUCGCUAUUAUAAUAUCUUGGAAACAUCACCAAAAUAUUUUUAUAAAUCCCGGAAUAUUAUAAAACUAAUAAAAUAAAAGUUUCGGGAUUUAU
rnacentral:lncRNA from 1 species